GGGGAAUAUUGCGCAAUGGGGGAAACCCUGACGCAGCGACGCCGCGUGAAGGAAGAAGGUUUUCGGAUCGUAAACUUCUUUGACUGGGGACGAAAGUAAUGACGGUACCCAGGGAACAAGCCACGGCUAACUACGUGCCAGCAGCCGCGGUAAUACGUAGGUGGCGAGCGUUGUCCGGAAUUACUGGGUGUAAAGGGCGUGUAGGCGGGAGAGCAAGUCAGAUGUGAAAGCCCAAGGCUCAACUUUGGGACUGCAUCUGAAACUGUUUUUCUUGAGUACUGGAGAGGGAAGCGGAAUUCCUAGUGUAGCGGUGAAAUGCGUAGAGAUUAGGAGGAACACCAGUGGCGAAGGCGGCUUCCUGGACAGAGACUGACGCUGAGGCGCGAAAGCGUGGGGAGCGAAC
rnacentral:rRNA from 1 species